rnacentral:rRNA from 1 species
CACACCGCCCGUCACAUCACGAAAAGUCCGUUGCUCUUGAAAGUCGCCGAGCUAACCGCAAGGAGGCAGGCGCCGACGGAGUGGCGGGCGAUUGGGGUG